CAGGGAAUCUUCCACAAUGGACGCAAGUCUGAUGGAGCAACGCCGCGUGAGUGAAGAAGGUCUUCGGAUCGUAAAACUCUGUUGUUAGAGAAGAACACGAGUGAGAGUAACUGUUCAUUCGAUGACGGUAUCUAACCAGCAAGUCACGGCUAACUACGUGCCAG
rnacentral:rRNA from 1 species